UGCCUAUGGCCGCUGGGAUGACCUGCACUACCGACUGACUGACCUUGGAGACUCCUCUGAAUCAGCUGCCUCCCAGCCUCCCACCCUGUGCCCAGACUCGCCAGCCACCCCAGACCUCUCUCACAACCAAUUCUUCUGGCUGGGCAAGGACUACAGCAAUCUUAUCACCAAGGACUGGGUGCAGCUGGACCGGCCUUUCGAAGGUGAAGCCUCCCACCCGCCAAAGCCCCAGAGAGCUGAGAGCAGGGUCAGAAGCUGAGGCUGGUACUGAGAGUGGGAUGAGAGGGGUCAAGGGUGGGACAGCCCUCCCUCUGGCAGGCUCCUUCUCCCUGCCCCAAGUGUCCCAAGGAGUCCAGCCCUGA
rnacentral:sRNA from 1 species